AGGAAGAGCUCUCUUCCUCUACCACUCUGCUCGNNNNNNNNGCUAAUACAUGCCAACGAGCGCCGACCCGGUCCCCCCGGGGGCCGGGGCACGCGUGCAUUUAUCAGAUCCAAAACCCAUCCGGGUGCGGCGUGGGCUCCCCCUUCGGGGGUCGGGCCUCGUCCCCCGGCCGCUUUGGUGACUCUAGAUAACCUCGGGCCGAUCGCGCGCCCUCCGCGGCGGCGACGAUUCAUUCGAAUGUCUGCCCUAUCAACUUUCGAUGGUACUUUAGGCGCCUACCAUGGUGACCACGGGUAACGGGGAAUCAGGGUUCGAUUCCGGAGAGGGAGCCUGAGAAACGGCUACCACAUCCAAGGAAGGCAGCAGGCGCGCAAAUUACCCAUUCCCGACACGGUGAGGUAGUGACGAAAAAUAACAAUACAGGUCUCUUUCGAGGCCCUGUAAUUGGAAUGAGCGUAUCCUAAACCCAUGGGCGAGGACCCAUUGGAGGGCAAGUCUGGUGCCAGCAGCCGCGGUAAUUCCAGCUCCAAUAGCGUAUAUUAAAGUUGCUGCAGUUAAAAAGCUCGUAGUUGGAUCUCGGGAGUGGGCUGGCGGUCCGCCGCGAGGCGAGCCACCGCCUGUCCCGGACCCUGCCUCCCGGCGCCCCCCGGAUGCCCCUAGCUGGGUGUCCGGUACCUCGGGGCCCGGAGCGUUUACUUUGAAAAAAUUAGAGUGUUCAAAGCAGCCCGCCCAGCCGCCGCUGAAUACCGCAGCUAGGAAUAAUGGAAUAGGACUCCGGUUCUAUUUUGUGGGUUUCUGGAACCCGGGGCCAUGAUUGAGAGGGACGGCCGGGGGCAUUCGUAUUGCGCCGCUAGAGGUGAAAUUCUUGGACCGGGGAAGACGGACGAAAGCGAAAGCAUUUGCCAAGAAUUUUUUAUUAAUCAAGAACGAAAGUCGGAGGUUCGAAGACGAUCAGAUACCGUCGUAGUUCCGACCGUAAACGAUGCCGACCCGCGAUCCGGCGGCGUUAUUCCCAUGACCCGCCGGGCAGCGUGCGGGAAACCACGAGUCUUUGGGUUCCGGGGGGCGUAAACGAUGCCGACCCGCGAUCCGGCGGCGUUAUUCCCAUAACUAUAAUGCAGCUUUGUCACGAUCGCGGAUAUUUGGUGACGCAGGAUGAAUUGGACCAGACUCUUGAUGAAUUCAGGAGUCAGUUUGGAGAUAAACCGAGCGAGGGUCGACCACGACGAAAUGACCUGACAGUCCUGGUGGCCCACAAUGACGACCCGACCGACCAGAUGUUUGUGUUCUUCCCGGAGGAACCAAAGGUUGGCAUCAAAACCAUAAAGAUGUAUUGCCAGCGCAUGCAGGAGGAAAACAUCACCCGCGCCAUCAUUGUAGUACAGAUGGGCAUGACACCCUCCGCCAAACAGUCUCUGGUCGACAUGGCACCAAAGUACAUACUGGAGCAGUUUCUUCAGCAGGAGCUUCUAAUCAACAUUACAGAACACGAGCUUGUUCCAGAGCACAUAGUUAUGACAAAAGAAGAAGUGACUGAGUUGCUGGCGCGGUAUAAGCUAAAGGAAAGCCAACUUCCCAGAAUUCAAGCUGGGGAUCCCGUUGCACGUUACUUUGGCUUAAAAAGAGGCCAGGUUGUUA
rnacentral:rRNA from 1 species